rnacentral:tRNA from 1 species
GGCAGUGUAGCACAGUGGGUAAGGAACUGGGCUUGUAACCGAAAGGUCAUAGGUUCAAUUCUUGGGUUGUACUGCCG